rnacentral:lncRNA from 1 species
UUCCGAUAGAUACAAAAAUCCUCUCUUUAUUUGCCUCAAGAUAAACUAGCAUUUCAUCUAGAGGAAAGUCAAUCAGGUGAAGAUCCCCCCUCUUCCAAGAGCUAUUUUAGCAAGAUAGUCUACACUUUUAUUCUCUUCCCUGGGAAUAUGUCUUAUAAUCCAUUGUCUUUCUUGAGACAAAAUCUGGUGUAUUCUCCUAAGAAGAGCCGAUGUUGGUUUCUUCGAAUCAUUCUCAUGAAUGGCUUUGACUAC